GCUGGGUGUGGUGGUCCACACCUGUAAUCCCAGCUACUCGGGAGGCUGAGGCAGGAGAAUUGCUUGAACCCAGGAAGCCAAGGUUUCAGUGAGCCAACAUCGUGUCACUGAACUCUAGCCUGAGCAACAGAGCAAGACUCCGUAUCAA
rnacentral:sRNA from 1 species